UACGAAGGGGGCGAGCGUUGUUCGGAAUCACUGGGCGUAAAGGGCGCGUAGGCGGCCCCCUUAGUCGCGUGUGAAAGCCCCGGGCUCAACCUGGGAACGGCACGCGAAACGGGAGGGCUGGAGUUCGGGAGAGGAGAGUGGAAUUCCCAGUGUAGAGGUGAAAUUCGUAGAUAUUGGGAAGAACACCGGUGGCGAAGGCGGGAUCCUGGGCCAGUACUGACGCUGAGGAGCGAAAGCGUGGGGAGCAAACAGG
rnacentral:rRNA from 1 species